rnacentral:rRNA from 1 species
AGAUGCGAUCAUACCAGCACUAAAGCGCCGGAUCCCAUCAGAACUCCGAAGUUAAGCGUGCUUGGGCGACAGUAGUACUAGGAUGGGUGACCUCCUGGGAAGUCCUCGUGUUGCAUUCC